rnacentral:rRNA from 1 species
CCCCUUAGAGUUUGAUCCUGGCUCAGGAUGAACGCUGGCGGCGUGUCUAAGGCAUGCAAGUCGAACGGAUCGUUAUUUGUAGCAAUACUUAGAACGGUUAGUGGCAAACGGGUGCGUAACACAUUGGUAACCUGCCUCAAAGUCGGGCAUAAUCCCUCGAAGGGGGGGCUAAUUCCACGAUGGUCAUCGAAGGUGAGAAUCCUUCGAUGUAAAGUCGCAAGACGCUUUGAGAGGGGCCUAUGGCCUAUCAGCUUGUUGGUGAGGUAACGGCUCACCAAGGCUAUGACGGGUAGGGGGUGUGAGAGCACCACCCCCCUCACUGGGACUGAGACACUGCCCAGACACCUACGGGUGGCUGCAGUCGAGAAUAUUCCCCAAUGGCCGAAAGGCUGAGGGAGCGACGCCGCGUGCAAGAAUAAGGCCUUCGGGUCGUAAACUGCUUUUGCCGAGGAAGAAUCAUGACGGUACUCGGAGAAUAAGAGGUUGCUAACUCUGUGCCAGCAGCAGCGGUAAUACAGAGACCUCAAGCGUUAUCCGGAUUUAUUGGGCGUAGAGGGUCCGCAGGUGUCUCUUCACGUCGAUGGUUAAUUUUUAGGGCUCAACCCUGAAACUGCUGUCGAUACGGUUAAGCUAGAGCAUGGAAAGAGGUAAGCGGAAUUUACUGCUGUAGUAGUAAAAUGCGUUAAUAUCAGUAGGAACACCAAAUGCGAAGGCAGCUUACUGGACAUUGCUGACACUCAGGACGAAGCGUGGAGAGCGAAAAAGGAUUAGAUACCCUUGUAGUCCACGCCCUAAACGAUGAUGCUAGAUAUAUUGGGGAGUAUCCGACCCCUCCCAGUGUCGUUAAAAUAGUCAACACAUCAGCAUGCGCUGGGGAGUACGUCGCAGACUACACUCGAAGGAAUAGACGACAUCGCCAGCAGGUCAGUGAUUAUUCGGAUAGAUCAGCCGCAUAGCU